AUUGAACGCUGGCGGCAGGCCUAACACAUGCAAGUCGAACGGUAACAGGAAGAAGCUUGCUUCUUUGCUGACGAGUGGCGGACGGGUGAGUAAUGUCUGGGAAACUGCCUGAUGGAGGGGGAUAACUACUGGAAACGGUAGCUAAUACCGCAUAACGUCGCAAGACCAAAGAGGGGGACCUUCGGGCCUCUUGCCAUCGGAUGUGCCCAGAUGGGAUUAGCUAGUAGGUGGGGUAACGGCUCACCUAGGCGACGAUCCCUAGCUGGUCUGAGAGGAUGACCAGCCACACUGGAACUGAGACACGGUCCAGACUCCUACGGGAGGCAGCAGUGGGGAAUAUUGCACAAUGGGCGAAAGCCUGAUGCAGCAAUGCCGCGUGUAUGAAGAAGGCCUUCGGGUUGUAAAGUACUUUCAGCGGGGAGGAAGGGAGUAAAGUUAAUACCUUUGCUCAUUGACGUUACCCGCAGAAGAAGCACCGGCUAACUACGUG
rnacentral:rRNA from 1 species